ACUGAUGUAUUCAACGAGUCUAUAACCUUGGCCGAUAGGCCUGGGUAAUCUUUGAAAAUUUUAUCGUGAUGGGGAUAGAUCAUUGCAAUUAUUGGUCUUCAAC
rnacentral:rRNA from 15 species